UGACAGUCUCAUACGGUGGGUGGACCAAAGCAGCAGAACUCCAGUAUAUAAAGUCUAGACUUUAAGAUCGAAGAUAGUGUUAAAGAUGGCAACAGCUCCAACAGCUCGGGUGCAGAUUCACUCUGCUUUGCUCAGAGUAAGGCUAACAUCAAAGACACUGUGGCUAAUUUGGAUGUAAAAAAUCCUUCUUGCAAAAAUGCAGUGACUCAAACACUUAAUCGUGUUGCUUGCAACAGUAGAGAUCAUAUCUGCCACUCCCCUGGGAUUUGUCUUUACAAGCUAUCAAGUCCAGUGAAUUUUACAGUCAAUUCCCUCAACUUCAAACACAAGCACACUCUAUAAUGGCACUACCACCCCCUGGGUCAGCAAUUCUUCUGGUUAUUAAACAUUCUUCCAGGUCUAAGCUUUGGACCAUCACUUCAGCAGCAGACAUUGUCAACUCCAUGAGGAAAGUUGAAGCGUCAGUCGUGGGCAAUGAACAGUGCGAUAAACUAAUAUCCAAUCGUAAAAUCACAGAGAGAGAGAGAGAGACAUGGAAAUGGAGGACUGAACAUUUGUCAGGUAAUUAUCAAGUAUAAUUUUUUUUGUGUAUCUUUCAUAAGGUAGGCUAAUUAAUUAGUCAGAAAAAGAAGUUCAAUUUUAUUCAUUAAUUUAGAGGAUUUAGAGGAUAUACAUAUUUUUUGAGUAUUUUAAUUUCAACAGGCAUUUUACUUCAUCUGACUUAAAAUAUAAUCAGACCAGAGUACUCAUUCAUAGCACUAGGACAUCAUCGUUUGAAGAAAAAAAAUGACCAAGUAUACACAAUAUAUAUAUAACUGUGAAAAUAUCAAUAUCGACAAAUAAUUGCAUCUUUCAACAUUUACCAUUUGAAUUCUGACUAAAUAUAUUUGGAAUAUGGUACAAUUUACCACCAAUUUCAUAAAUAAUAUUUGCAAUUGUUGCAAAAGACUGUUUGAUCUUUACUUUUGUUGUGAAAUAUAUUUACGAUAAUGCAGUAAUUCUGUU
rnacentral:lncRNA from 1 species